UCCCUCUAAAAUGUCAAAUGACUCCAAAAUUGCCCGUUACCUCCCCAGAUGACCCAACUCCAUUUAAAAUGAAUGAUUUUGUCAUUUUACCUGACUUUUCAUUCUGCUUAUUGGGGCGUGAUCUGAUUAACAAAAUUGGUGCCAAGAUACCAUUUGAAUCUAACUUAUUGCAACUUAUAUUUUCUUCAGUGUAUUCUCAGUCUGUGUGUACAGGAACUUGUGGUGAAGUGCUCAGCUCAACAUCUGUGAAGUCUUCUGAUGUGAAACAGGAACUACUCAAUGUCAACCCAGCAUUGUGGGCCGCCCACAAAGAUGAGGCUGGCCUAACUGACGUUAGGCCAUAUGUGGCUAAACUUCGGUCUAACAUACCAGUAUGCUGCAAACAGUACCCACUCUCAAAAGAAAAGGAAGAAGGUAUUGGUUCAAUAAUACAAUGGUUGCUGUCACAAGGUAUAUUGAAACCAACCAAUUCACCAUAUAACACACCAAUCAAUCCUGUCAAAAAGGCUAAUGUGUGCCAGUCUUGCCUGUCACGCAGCCCCUGUUCGCGUUCAUGUACGGAGGUCGACAGUACACGCGGACAAGAAUGCCCCAAGGAUUUAGAGACUCGCCUGCUGUGUUCUCUGCUGUAGUGCACGCUACUUUGAAAGACACCAAGCUGCCACCACAGACCUGUCUGCUGCAAUACGCUGAUGACAUCCUGGUUUCAAGGCGUCAAAAGAUAUGCUGCAAUGGGUGAAACUGAGAGUUGACUAUCUGGGUCAUGAGCUGCAGAAAGGAACAAUAGGAAAAAGUUUGAAUCUCCACAGAUAGAAUCAAGACAAUAACCACCUUUCAGCAUCCGACAACAAAGACCCAAAUGCAAAGUUUUCUGGGCCUAGUUAAUUAUUGUCGAGCCUGGGUCCCGAACUGCUCAUUGUACAACAAGAUAUUGAGAGAGGCCACACUCUCAGGGGCCGAAGAGCGUAACAGUUUAAGUUCCCCAUCAGCUCUAGGUUUGCCAAACUAUGGUGAACCUUUCCAUCUGUACGUGCAUGAGGCUGGAGACACAGCAGCAGCGAUCCUCGCCCAGUCCCAUGGUGGAACAUACAGACCGGUGGCGUACUUGUCGAAGACAUUAGAUGCAGUUGCCAAAGGCCUCCCUGCGUGUCUGUGGGCAGUUGCUGCUGCAGCAUUGAUGGUACUAGACGCAGAACGCAUUGUUCCCACACCCUAUGACUGUGCACACCUUGCAUCAGAUAGUCUUACUCACCCAUUUGUCAACGGGUUCUGAUCAGGUGUUUAAAACCUACUAAGUUGGGGGAGCCAAAGUAUCUGGGCCCAGCUACUGUCCUGGCGGUGACCAGAACCAGUGAGCCAACGGAUCUUCAACCACAGUGGAUACAUGCAAGCUGCGUGAAACCUGCACCUGAGGAGAGCCCGACUAUUUCGAAAGCGAACGGUGAAAGUACUGGAGGAGCUGAACACGCAGUGCCAGUGCCUAACCGGGAACUUGAGAAUUAGAAGGGCCAGAGGAGGGACGAAAAUUACAUAAUAUUGCUAUGCUUCAUUAUCUACACUUACACGCUGUCAAAGUCAACUGAGAUUCUGAGUGAUCCUUCCAGGAUCAAAGCGGGCAUUGUGAGAAAAGUUGACCUCUUAAGUUGACCUUCCAGUAAAUAUAUUUAAGCAAGCUGACAUUUAAUGGCUAGUACUCAGUUCCUAUUUUCAUAGUGUGUGUGUGUGUGUGUGUGUGUGUCAGUAACGGAAAUCAUGUCGAAAGGGUUCCCGGUUUCACUCCUCUGAGUGUCUCAGGUCAAAAGUUGAACACCGUCUAGUUGAACUCUUCUAUUCUAGAAUAUUUUCGUUUCAUUUAUGUAAUGAAUGCAGAAUCUGUAUGUAUGUCUUCUUCAAAUAAGAUAAUGGUUGAUCUCAUUGGACAAUGUAAUUAGUGUACUGCUUUUCCUGUUCCUACAAAGGUAUAUAAUGCUGUGCUUUGACUUGAUACUUAGGGGCCAAUCCUGAAAAAUUCCUAACAAAUAUCUAUAACGUUUUUUUUUUCCUCAUCUAAAUUUAGCUUCAUUAAUCAGCAUGUUAGGAGCCUUUCAUAACAAACAAACUGAUUUUUGUUCUAAUUUUGUGAAAAUUAAUCAAAGAUGUUAUCAUCUCUGGCAUGGAUGGCAAAUAAA